GAAAGGUUUGUUGCUCCGGACGCGUUUUCGUACGGCCCGGUUCGUGCCCGCUGGUUGUUGCCGAGGAGCGUGGGGUGCGGGUGCUCGGGAAGGGUCAAAAGGCGACUUUUCUUUUGCUGCCGCGACCGAGCGGCCUACGACGCCAGCACGUGCGUGUGCGCUGCAGCGUGCAUUUGAUGGGUGUUUUGUUGCUUUGUUUUCUUAGUGUGCGACCAUAUUGGCCAGUGAGUAGUGUGCAUGUGUGAUUGCUCGUCAGAGUGAAAUUUUAACUGCAGUGGAAAGAGGGCCGAAUUUUCCCGACGUUUAGCGAAAAAAAAGGGGGGGAACAACCAACGGACCCCAGUGCAACUAAUCGACAGCUGUCGAACGAGGCGAGGAACUCGGUGGAAAUGCACGGCCACAGUGCGAUGUGAGCCCCUCCAGCAAGCGGGCAAGAAGACGCACGGAACAGUAGAGCAAGGAGGGGAAGGCUAGAAAAGUUCAAGCAUACCCAACACACCAACACACACACAGGCAUACACGUUCCAGCGAAAGAUAUGGCGCCAGUCCGGGACACACGGUGGGCUGGGCGGCAGCUCGCGCUGACACUGCUCGCGGUGACGCUGGCCGCGGUCGGGGGGCGGUCGGUGGCGGCAUCAGCACUACCGACUGACAGCUACCGAUUGACAGGGAGCAGCGCAGCGACAGCGCCCACAAAGGAGACGGUGUCAGCCUCAACUUCAUCAACCUCAACCGACGACGCUACUAUCAACCGCUGUCGCGCGGCCUGCCUGGCGAAGCAUUCUGUGCCCGAUAUGGCGUGCAGCCAAACGCGAGCCUGCUCAACGGUA